rnacentral:lncRNA from 1 species
UCUUAAAGAAAUACUGGAAUGAUUACAAACAUAUUUCAAAUACAUCUCAAUUCAAUCUUAAUCUAAUCCUAGUUGAAAUCUUAUUAGACUUCAUUUAAACUUUAGGCCAAAAACUAACUAAAUCUUAAAUCCUAAACAAAGUAAAAUAAAACUCUAAACCUUAAAUCAAAUCCUGAUCAAAUCCUAACCAAAUCUUAAAUCUUAAAUCAAACCUUAAAUCCUAAACCAAAUUCUAAUCUUAAAUCAAAUCCUAAUCAAAUCCUAAUCCUAAAUCAAAUCCUAACCACCUAUAAACCAAACCCUAAUUCCUAAAUCAAAUCCUAACCACCUAUAAACCAAAUCCUAAAUCCUAAAUCAAAUCCUAAUCCUAAAUCAUAUCUUAAUCAAAUUCUAAUCCUAAAUCAAAUCCUAACUAAAUCCUAAUCAAAUCUUAAAUCCUAAAUCAAAUCCUAAUCCUAAAUCAAACCUUAACCAAACCUUAAACCCUAAAUUCUAAAUCAAAUCCUAAUCAAAUCCUAAAUCCUAAAUCAAAUCCUAAUCUUAAAUCAAAUCCUAAUCAAAUCUUAAAUCCUAAACCAAAUCUUAAUCUUAAAUCAAACCCUAAUCAAAUCUUAACCCUAAAUCAAAUCCUAACUAAAUCCUAGUAAUUUCUACAACAGAAUUAAACCUCAAUAACUAAUGAAUGAACUAUC